AUGGGAGAUAUGAAGUAACUGGAAAUUUAUUUGGUGACACGGCUAAACCAGUUUGUGACAAAGGAUACAUGUUAGCGGGUAAGGAAACAACUAGAAGAUCAGGGAUGGGAUGGCCGAGAUCCUCUCUGUGAACCGGUGAAAUGUUCAGCACCUCCAGCCAAAGAAAAUGGGAAACUUGAAGAUACUUGAAGCCUUUGGAGAGUUAUGAUUAUUUAGAAGCAGUCUCCUAUAGAUGUAACAAAGGACUUAAUCUUAUAG